CGCGCCGCACCGCGCAGCGCUCUGCCAGCCGCGGAGGGGGGAGACAAGGAGGAGCCGGAGGAAGCGGGGGCGGCAAGUCAAGAUCGGAUGUAUCUGCCUGGGCGGAGGGAGGUGCGGUGCUGCGGCACAUGCUACCCUAGGGUCUGACUGCUGCGCAUCUACCAAGACAGAAGGCACGGUCUGGGGAGUAUGUCUGACCGUCCGGCUCAGUAACCAUCCUGUUCUCUUAGCCGAGGAGGUUACAGCCAGGGGGAUGGAACCCCUCACUGGGUAGGCAGAAAGCAUGACUAAUCCUUGAACCCAUUUCCUGAUGGAGUCACAGCCUUCCCUCAUUCUUCUCCUCACUCGCUCUUCCUCUAUUUCAUUUAAGACCAUGAGAAGGAUUCUCAAGCCUCAAGAAGCCAGUGUGCUAGUAAAGGUAGCCCGAACAGUAAAGCAUUGUCUGAAUGUAUCAGCAGCCUCACCUCAAUCUGUGCUGGAUUCCAAUCUGAGAGAGUGACUCAAAUCAGCCCUAAAAUGGAGGAGUGAGUAUCAGACGGGCUGAAGUCCUAUUGGUCCAGUGAAGUGUGAGGAAGGACCUCUUCAAAAACAUGCUGAUGUCACCUGCCACCACCUACAUCACCCACUGCAGGGGCUGACUGAUGGAUAUUGGGUGCCGGACUUCCCUAGGGAGAGUGCUGGAACUGGUCAAUGCAAGCCAGUUCUGACGUUCAUUAAUCCAAUUUUUUGUUACUUCCUUAUGCCCACCUCUUCGCUAAACUGCUUUUAAGACAAUUGGUGCUGGUUUCAUAGCUAAUCAAUGCCCACAUUAUUCCUCCCACUCAAGGACCUGGAGGUAUUAGAUUAAAUGUACUUGAUUCUGGAA